rnacentral:rRNA from 1 species
UACGAAGGGGGCUAGCGUUGCUCGGAUUGACUGGGCGUAAAGGGCGCGUAGGCGGUUUGCACAGUCAGACGUGAAAUUCCUGGGCUCAACCUGGGGGCUGCGUUUGAUACGUGUAGACUUGAGUGCGGAAGAGGGUCGUGGAAUUCCCAGUGUAGGGGUGAAAUUCGUAGAUAUUGGGAAGAACACCGGUGGCGAAGGCGGCGACCUGGUCCGUGACUGACGCUGAGGCGCGAAAGCGUGGGGAGCAAACAGG